GGGUCGCCCGCAGAUUUCCUCCUGCUCUCACAGCGGAACCCAGCACGGGGACCCGGAUCGCGCGGUGGAGACAGCAGCCUCCCCCGGCACCCGGGCUUCUGGGUCUGCCCGCGCGUGCCGCAGUGACACGGGUCGCCCUGGGGGCGCUGCCCGCAGGGUCUGGUCUGGGGGCGGGGGUGGGAGGGAGGACCAGGAGCGGCCCUGCCUGUGUGACACGUGACUGUCCGCCGCGCUCCGGGGCAGCCAUCUUCCGCCCUGCGGGGACCGCUGGCGAGGAACGGUCCGGGAUCCGGUGGCUCUCGACCCAGCAGCUUCCCCACCAGGCCCGGGUCCCCGCCCUCACCUGCCUCCGCGGGGCUACUGCGUGGGUGCCGCUGCGCUGGCACUCGAUCCCCGGGAGGACGGGCUGUCUCCGGAGCCAGAACCCAAAGGCUGAGAAUUGGAGAGCAGCUCUCCUGGGCUGACGGCGUCUGCUUUUCCCCAGGGGCGGAAGUUAGAAGAGGAGUUCUCGUUCCUGAGGCGCCGGUACCGCUCCCACUGCUUCCCUGUUGUGACCCAUUCCCGGCGACGGGAGGAUGGAGGUGGCGGAAGACGUCAGGACCGCCGCCGCUCCCCUCCAUGCAUUUCCCCUGCCGCCGGUCAGGUUCCAUGGUGAUGCUGUUAUAGUCACUUGGUGUCCCUGAAAUCUCUGGACCCUCGACCUCACCACCCGAGGAUGCAUUACCACACCUAGACCCACGGAAUCAGAAACGCUAUUGGUGGGGUCCUCCCUGAAAUCUGGUUAACAAGCCCUCAGGGUGAACCUAAAUGCCGCUUUCCCUAAGCCCUUGAGACCCGUUUUCAUGUGAGACGCUGAAAACUUGGGAAAAAACGGAUUCAAAAUGCAGCCUGCUCCUGGCCAGGCGCUUGGGGUCUCUCGUCCUCUCCUGCAUCCCUGGCCUCUUCACCCCAGGACACUAUGCUACUGCACUUACACCGUGUUUUUACAUGACAACAGACAUUCAGUUCAGUUUGGAGUGUCAACCAAGAGCAGGAGAGUGCCUGAGCGGCUUAGUAGCCCCACUGGGUAUUAAACAUCAGUUUAAAAGAUAAAAGGAAGGCUUGCUGGUUUUUGACAUGAGUGCUGGACAGCCACUGGCUACUUCGCACUUGCUGUAACCGAGGUCAAAAGUGUCACAUGCCACACCUUUAAAAGGGACCGAGGGCUGUGGAGAU
rnacentral:lncRNA from 1 species